UCAGUUUUCUUUAGAACUCUGUUGGAGGAAUGCUGCUCUUCAGCUCUGUCCCUGCCUGUGAAGAUUCUUAGUCUGGACUUCAGACUGACUGCCCGGCUUGAUCUUCUAUAUGAUUAUAGAGCAGCUUGGCAAUUGCUGGACCUGAUGGUGAUUUGUGGACUGGAUUGCUGCUUGUUCACAAGCCUGAUAGACUCCUGGCUGGACUUGGCUGCUGCUGGACCUUCUCUUCUUGGGUACCUUGAAAUUGGGCCUAGGCUGGCAGAGGUCUCUUCUCCUGCUGUGGGAGCCCAGAGGUGGCCUGGUCUGCUCUUGUUUCCUGAGGGCUGUGGAGAUCCCUGCAAGUUCCUGUCCUUCACCUCUUGGGGAGUUUACUUACUGGAUGCACUUCCUGGCCUUGUGUUUGACGCAGCAAAAGAAGAUGUGGCACUGCGCACGAGCAUACUGAGGAAGCUGCUUCUGCAGGUGGAUGUAGCUGACUCAAGGGGAAAGCUGAGCAACCUUGGAUACUGAGCUCUAAUUGGUGAGUCUAGAGGUUACUACUGUUUACAAAGCUAAUGUUUAUAACUUGUUUGUUCUUGUAUUUGUAAAAUUGCAUUUGUGUAUUUUGUAAUACUGUAUUUGU